GACGAACGCUGGCGGCAUGCCUAAUACAUGCAAGUCGAGCGGAGUUGAUAGAAAGCUUGCUUUCUUGAUACUUAGCGGCGGACGGGUGAGUAACACGUAGGCAACCUGCCCUCAAGCUUGGGACAACUACCGGAAACGGUAGCUAAUACCGAAUACUUGUUUUCUUUGCCUGAAGGAAACUGGAAAGACGGAGCAAUCUGCCACUUGGGGAUGGGGCUGCGGCGCAUUAGCUAGUUGGUGAGGUAACGGCUCACCAAGGCGACGAUGCGUAGCCGACCUGAGAGGGUGAUCGGCCACACUGGGACUGAGACACGGCCCAGACUACUACGGGAGGAAGCAGUAGGGAAUCUUCCGCAAUGGGCGAAAGCCUGACGGAGCAAUGCCGCGUGAGUGAUGAAGGUUUUCGGAUCGUAAAGCUCUGUUGCCAGGGAAGAACGCUUGGGAGAGUAAAUGCUCCCAAGGUGACGGUACCUGAGAAGAAAGCCCCGGCUAACUACGUGCCAGCCGCCGCCGUAA
rnacentral:rRNA from 1 species